rnacentral:rRNA from 1 species
GGUUAAGCGAAUAAGCGUACACGGUGGAUGCCUAGGCAAUCAGAGGCGAUGAAGGACGUGCUAAUCUGCGAUAAGCGUCGGUAAGGUGAUAUGAACCGUUAUACCCGACGAUUUCCGAAUGGGGAAACCCAAUAUCCAAUGGAUAUUAUCAUGACGUGAAUACAUAGCGUCAUGAAGCGAACCGGGAGAACUGAAACAUCUCAGUACCCCGAGGAAAAGAAAUCAACCGAGAUUCCCCUAGUAGCGGCGAGCGAACGGGGAACAGCCCAGAGUCUUAAUCAAUAGCAGCAUCAGGAGAACGGUCUGGAAAGUCCGGCAGUAAAGGGUGAUAGCCCCGUAUCUGAAGAUGCUGUUAUUGUGAACUCGACGAGUAGGGCGGGACACGUGUUAUCCUGUCUGAAUAUGGGGGGACCAUCCUCCAAGGCUAAAUACUCCUGAUUGACCGAUAGUGAACCAGUACCGUGAGGGAAAGGCGAAAAGAACCCCGGCGAGGGGAGUGAAAAAGAACCUGAAACCGUGUACGUACAAGCAGUAGGAGCCUCUUUAUGGGGUGACUGCGUACCUUUUGUAUAAUGGGUCAGCGACUUAUAUUCUGUAGCAAGGUUAACCGUAUAGGGGAGCCGUAGGGAAACCGAGUCUUAACUGGGCGAAUGAGUUGCAGGGUAUAGACCCGAAACCCGGUGAUCUAUCCAUGGGCAGGUUGAAGGUUGGGUAACACUAACUGGAGGACCGAACCGACUAAUGUUGAAAAAUUAGCGGAUGACUUGUGGAUGGGGGUGAAAGGCCAAUCAAACCGGGAGAUAGCUGGUUCUCCCCGAAAGCUAUUUAGGUAGCGCCUCGUGAAUUCAUCUUCGGGGGUAGAGCACUGUUUCGACUAGGGGGUCAUCCCGACUUACCAACUCGAUGCAAACUGCGAAUACCGAAGAAUGUUAUCACGGGAGACACACGGCGGGUGCUAACGUCCGUCGUGAAGAGGGAAACAACCCAGACCGCCAGCUAAGGUCCCAAAGUCAUGGUUAAGUGGGAAACGAAGUGGGAAGGCUCAGACAGCCAGGAUGUUGGCUUAGAAGCAGCCAUCAUUUAAAGAAAGCGUAAUAGCUCACUGGUCGAGUCGGCCCGCGCGGAAGAUGUAACGGGGCUAAACCAUGCACCGAAGCUGCGGCAGCGACACUAUGUGUUGUUGGGUAGGGGAGCGUUCUGUAAGCCUGCGAAGGUGUACUGUGAGGUAUGCUGGAGGUAUCAGAAGUGCGAAUGCUGACAUAAGUAACGAUAAUGCGGGUGAAAAACCCGCACGCCGGAAGACCAAGGGUUCCUGUCCAACGUUAAUCGGGGCAGGGUGAGUCGACCCCUAAGGCGAGGCUGAAAAGCGUAGUCGAUGGGAAACGGGUUAAUAUUCCCGUACUGGUGGUAACUGCGAUGGGGGAACGGAGAAGGCUAGGUUGUCCGGGCGACGGUCGUCCCGGUUCAAGCAUGUAGGCAGAGUGAUUAGGCAAAUCCGGUCACUUAAUGCUGAGGUGUGAUGACGAGCCACUAAGGUGGUGAAGCAAUUGAUGCCCUGCUUCCAGGAAAAGCCUCUAAGCUUCAGGUUACCAACAAUCGUACCCCAAACCGACACAGGUGGUCAGGUAGAGAAUACUCAGGCGCUUGAGAGAACUCGGGUGAAGGAACUAGGCAAAAUGGUGCCGUAACUUCGGGAGAAGGCACGCUGGCGGUAAGUGAAGUCCCUCGCGGACGGAGCCGAAGCCAGUCGAAGAUACCAGCUGGCUGCAACUGUUUAUUAAAAACACAGCACUGUGCAAACACGAAAGUGGACGUAUACGGUGUGACGCCUGCCCGGUGCUGGAAGGUUAAUUGAUGGGGUUAUCCGUAAGGAGAAGCUCUUGAUCGAAGCCCCAGUAAACGGCGGCCGUAACUAUAACGGUCCUAAGGUAGCGAAAUUCCUUGUCGGGUAAGUUCCGACCUGCACGAAUGGCGUAAUGAUGGCCAGGCUGUCUCCACCCGAGACUCAGUGAAAUUGAACUCGCUGUGAAGAUGCAGUGUACCCGCGGCAAGACGGAAAGACCCCGUGAACCUUUACUAUAGCUUGACACUGAACAUUGAGCCUUGAUGUGUAGGAUAGGUGGGAGACUAUGAAAUGUGGACGCCAGUCUGCAUGGAGUCAACCUUGAAAUACCACCCUUUAACGUUUGAUGUUCUAACCUAGGUCCAUAAUCUGGAUCGGGGACCGUGUCUGGUGGGUAGUUUGACUGGGGCGGUCUCCUCCUAAAGAGUAACGGAGGAGCACGAAGGUUGGCUAAGCAUGGUCGGACAUCAUGCGGUUAGUGCAAAGGCAUAAGCCAGCUUGACUGUGAGAGUGACGGCUCGAGCAGGUACGAAAGUAGGUCUUAGUGAUCCGGUGGUUCUGAAUGGAAGGGCCAUCGCUCAACGGAUAAAAGGUACUCCGGGGAUAACAGGCUGAUACCGCCCAAGAGUUCAUAUCGACGGCGGUGUUUGGCACCUCGAUGUCGGCUCAUCACAUCCUGGGGCUGAAGUAGGUCCCAAGGGUAUGGCUGUUCGCCAUUUAAAGUGGUACGCGAGCUGGGUUUAGAACGUCGUGAGACAGUUCGGUCCCUAUCUGCCGUGGGCGUUGGAAGAUUGAGAGGGGUUGCUCCUAGUACGAGAGGACCGGAGUGAACGCACCACUGGUGUUCGGGUUGUCAUGCCAAUGGCAUUGCCCGGUAGCUAAGUGCGGAAGAGAUAACCGCUGAAAGCAUCUAAGCGGGAAACUUGCCUCGAGAUGAGUCUUCCCUGUCACCUUGAGUGACCUAAAGGAACGUUUAAGACUAAGACGUUGAUAGGCUGGGUGUGUAAGCGUAGCGAUACGUUGAGCUAACCAGUACUAAUGAACCGUGAGGCUUAACCUG